CGGCCGAGAGGUACUUUGCCAACCAGACGCCGAAAAGGGAAUAGGAAAGUUUCGGGUGCGUGACGCUAUCGAACCGUCCAGCCAAAUUCGAAGAAAUCAACCACACCGCGCUAUACGAUCCAUCCUGUGCUAUUUAACCAGCGUUAAAGUGUGUCCUGAUUUAAUUACCGUUUUAAUUAGAGCAGCGGGAACGGACUUCGACGACCCGCUGCGCAUCCAUUGGAAUACGAUAUUAGACAGAGGGUAAGUAUUGGAGACUCUUAAAUUGACAAGAGGCGAGAAGAAGUAAUAAGGAUCGGAAAUAUGUAUUAAAAAUCUGGCGAAUUUCAUACGUAAUUUCACUUGUUCAGGAAAUUAUUCCAACGCUUAUAUAGAAAUCUUCUACGACUAUAUUA
rnacentral:misc_RNA from 1 species